UACGGAGGGGACUAGCGUUGUUCGGAAUUACUGGGCGUAAAGCGCACGUAGGCGGAUUUGUAAGUCAGGGGUGAAAUCCCGGGGCUCAACCUCGGAACUGCCUUUGAUACUGCAAAUCUCGAGUCCGGAAGAGGUGAGUGGAAUUCCUAGUGUAGAGGUGAAAUUCGUAGAUAUUCGGAAGAACACCAGUGGCGAAGGCGACUAACUGGACAUGUAUUGACGCUGAGACGCGAAAGCGUGGGGAGCGAACAGG
rnacentral:rRNA from 1 species